rnacentral:rRNA from 1 species
AAUCAACGCUGGCGGCGUGCUUAACACAUGCAAGUCGAACGGUGACCUCGAGAGCUUGCUCUUGGGUGAUCAGUGGCGAACGGGUGAGUAACACGUGAGGAACCUGCCCCAGACUCUGGAAUAACCCCGGGAAACCGGAGCUAAUACCGGAUAUGACAUCAGGUCGCAUGGUCAUGGUGUGGAAAGUUUUUCGGUCUGGGAUGGCCUCGCGGCCUAUCAGCUUGUUGGUGAGGUAGUGGCUCACCAAGGCGACGACGGGUAGCCGGCCUGAGAGGGCGACCGGCCACACUGGGACUGAGACACGGCCCAGACUCCUACGGGAGGCAGCAGUGGGGAAUAUUGCACAAUGGGCGAAAGCCUGAUGCAGCGACGCCGCGUGAGGGAUGACGGCCUUCGGGUUGUAAACCUCUUUCAGUAGGGAAGAAGCGCAAGUGACGGUACCUACAGAAGAAGCACCGGCUAACUACGUGCCAGCCGCCGCGUAAAAC